UGUAGAGUCUCCACUCCCAGCGAUGCAACCAAAGUCUUUGGUUCUCAACCCAAAAUUCAGGUCAUUUCUUCUCACCCAAAACCAUUAACAGGGCCGGAGUGAUUCCACCGGUGAUGCCCGAUAUCAGUCCCCGCCGAACCUCGUCAUCUCUUUAGUCCUCCUUACUGCUGCCUUUUGGGUUCACUGAUGCCGCGGUCAACUGAGCUCAUCACCGAUGAAUACCCCGAUGAAGGUCCCCAAGUCGCCGUAUAAGGUGACUCCUGAUGUACAUUUCUAAAAAGAUUUGGGCUUAGAUAGCUUGGAUAAUGUGGAGAUUUUAAUGGCUCUAGAAGAAGAGUUCAAGCUUGAGAUUCCUGACAAGGAAGCCGAUAAGAUUGAUUCUGCAAAUCUGGCCAUUAAGGACAUCUAUAACCAUCCAAUAAUGGCUUCGUAACUACCUUUAGCAGUAGGCUUGUCUGAUUAUGUUUUGGAUUUGCAAGAUGAUUUCAGGUUGGCUAUUGGCUUGAUUGAUUAGCUUCUGUGCUGGUUUCUAUAUUGUUGAGAAAUUGUUGUUGUUAUUGGUGAAUUAGCUUAUGAAUUUUGUGAUGUGUUUGAUUCUUCAAGCUUUGGAUGCACGGGCAAUGAGUGAUGAUUUCUAUUUGAGCCAGGUGGAUUGGUUGCUGCAUAAUGUAUUAGCUAUGGGGUACGAAAACUGUGUUCAUUUGUGGAAUGUUUGUAGUAGUAAGGUGUAUGUAAUGUGCAUUUUCUGGAAUCACAAAGCUUUGCUCUUGCUAUGCUGGAGAAGGUUCAUUUGUUGUACUUUACAAUAUUAUAGAAGGAAUG
rnacentral:lncRNA from 1 species